GAGUGAGGGAUGGGCUUGGGCAGUGAGGACUGGGGGUCCAGCCCAUCUCCCACUCCUUACCCCUGGCCGUCCCUCCUU
ensembl:miRNA